UAAUAAAGAAUUAAGCAAAAUACGAACCUCUGUGUUUUUAAAAUCACAUUUUAUUUCAGCACUAUUUUACAACAAAAACAUGCUUGACUUUAAUUCAAUAAAAUAGGAGAAAUAAUCUUGCCCACCUAACAUCCUCACUAUAGACAGACAUGGAACUUGUCUAUGAAGUUGUUAUGGUGGCAAGAGUGCCUGGACACCCAUCUUCAGAUGUAAAGCUAUUUUCAAACAGUUUAAGAAACACCGGCCUCCAGUUUAAACUUUCCUACUAUUGAGGAGGCAGAAAUAAAGAAAACAGGAGG